CUUUAACAUAACAACCCUUCUUUUAUAGAAUAACCACUUUGAAGUGUUUGAUGGUUCUGUAAUAAAAGAGAAAGAUUAGAAUUCCUAUUCAGUUCUGCUUUUAAAUCUGGCACUUCUGAACCUUGAUCAACAAUCUUGGCUAUCAGUAAUUAGUUCUUUGCAUGUGAAGUGCUCCUCCCAUGCUUGUUGUAUCUCAGGGUCUUUUACAUGUAAAUGCCAUUGAUCUCCAUCUAAGACAGCCUCCUUUGCUAACAAAUUCAAUUGUACAUUUGAAUGAGUGUUUACUGCUGACUGGAGGGGGUGCUUUAGUCCCCAUCCAACCAGUUUCCCAAGAUUCCAUUUGGACAGAUGGUUUGAUCUGGUGGCAUAAGCAAUGUCACUAUUGAUACAAAUAGGGCGUGUGCCAAAUUCCUUUGAAAAAUGUACAAGUCCCAAAAAAUUUCUUCAAGGAUUGUUUGUUAAAAGGUCUGGGGACUUGUAAGAUUGCUAUCACUCUUUAAUUGGGCAGCUGUGAUAGCUACUCCCAAAAAUGUUACCUUUUGUGUGAGCAACCUUUGAAGUGUUUAGCUUGACUCCAGCAUUAUGCAAUUAAGUAAAAAAAAAAAUUCCAUUAAUAAAUUCAUAUGUUAUUGUUU